AUACGACCAUACCCAUUGGAAAACUCGGGAUCCCGUCCGCUCUCCCAUAGAUAAGCCAAUGAGGGCCGCAUUAGUAGUUGGGUCGGUGACGACCAGCGAAUACCUGGUGUUGUAUG
rnacentral:rRNA from 1 species